UACGAAGGGGGCUAGCGUUGCUCGGAAUCACUGGGCGUAAAGCGCACGUAGGCGGAUCUUUAAGUCAGGGGUGAAAUCCUGGAGCUCAACUCCAGAACUGCCUUUGAUACUGGGGAUCUCGAGUCCGGGAGAGGUGAGUGGAACUCCGAGUGUAGAGGUGAAAUUCGUAGAUAUUCGGAAGAACACCAGUGGCGAAGGCGGCUCACUGGCCCGGUACUGACGCUGAGGUGCGAAAGCGUGGGGAGCAA
rnacentral:rRNA from 1 species